AGGCAGGGACCUCGCUCCUGGGGGGAUCCGUGCCGAGGUGGGUCCAGGCAUCCUUGGAAUCCUGGAACCACUCCUCAGCACAGCCACCCCAACCAGUGCAAAUGGCAUCCCCCAAGACCAGGACAGCUCCGCCCAGCUCACCCCGGCGUCGCCCAUCCCUAGAACGAUGAACUCAGAUAUCAACUCUGGAAGGUCCCUGAUUGACAGAUGGGGAAACUGAGGGCAGCAACCCUCACGAGGUCGUCCCAGCUUGAACCCGAGCUGGUGCCUGGGAGCCCCGGCCCCUCACUGUGCUGCCCAACCUGGGACGCCAAGGCCACGUGCUUCCCUGCUGUUAAGAGACGCUCGGCCUCAGCCCACACCCUCCAGCGGCUGCCGCUGUUUAAACAGAAGACGUCAUGGCCAGUGAUAUACGCUGGAUUCCAAAGAUUGUUCCAUCCAGGGGAGAUGGCUCCUGGAGCCGGCUCCAGCUCAGGUAAGCCACCCAGAAUGGCCAGGGUGUGACCCGGCUGACCCUCCCAAGGGCCUGACCCACAGGCGCCCCUUGUGCAGACCGUUUCUUGCCAGUUAUUCUGCAGCAGGUCAAGGCCGUGAGCACAGUCCUGAGAUGCUCAGGAUCCCGGAGGUGAAAGGCGCCAAGCACGUGCCUGGAUGCAUCCCCCACACACAUACAAUGGGACCGGGGAGCCCCAGAGGGGACACGGCUAGUCCAAGACCACAGACCUGGUGAGCCCCAAAGAGUGUCAUCUUUUCAGAUUCCCCUUUGAAGGUCAAGACGCACCAGAAGGGACAUAGAGGGGAAAGGGGGAUGGGGGCUGUCCUUAACGCCACCCCUCCUACUGCCCCAGUGUCACCUCUUCCAAAGGGUCUGCUGCGGUGCCCCACCCCUCACAUGGCUCUCUAGCUUGUCCCACUGCGACAUGAUUUUACAUAUAUCAGCUCACUCAAAUACAUAUUUAUAGAUUUACCAGAACACUGGCUUUCCCCUUAUAUUAGGGCAGAUUCCCAGGAGGUCUGGGACUAUAUUUGUCUGGUUCGCUGUGGUUUCCUGUGCUGAGGACGGACCUUGGGAUAUAACAGGUGCUCAGUUCAUUNCCCCACCGCCCCCACCCCCACCGUCACCACCACCACCGCCACCACCAGCACCGUCACAACCACCACUGCCACCACCACCACCGUCACCACCACCACCGCCACCACCACCACCAUCACCAGUGUCACCAUCACACUGCUAAUAACAGCUAACCCACGUUGAGCACCAACCAGACCCUGUGUCCGGUGUUUUGUGUGGAUUAACACAUUGCACCACCCCUCCAUCCCCACAGAGUGAGACUGUUACCAUCCCAUUUCGCAGGUGAGGACACUAAGGCACAGGGCUUUAGAAACUUGCCCAGAGUCAGACAGUUCACAAAGGUCAAAGCUGAGAUGCCCUUGAAUUGACAGAAAGAGCCCCUGUGCUGAUGAGCCAGCCCCUCUGAGUGGCGUGGGGGCAGCCCUCUGCCCUCACACUUUAUUGCAUCUUUGGGCACCUGACGAAGCAGCUUGCACUGUAAGAGGAAGAAAGCAGGGCUGGAGGAGGUCUGGCCCCUUGCCUGUAGUCAACACAUGGUGUAACUUCCAUUGACCACACAAUGCUGGUGACGAGAUUUCCCCUGCCGGGGUCUCAGGGGAGAUCCCCUGAGGGCUUAGGGCCUCCUGCCCGGCUGCCCCCGCCCCUGCCCCCCAGGCCUUCCUCAGUCUCUCUUGCACACACGUGGUGCUGACCCUGAAUCCCGUGGUCUCCCUCCAGCCCUGACGGACCCCGAUUUCUCUCUGAAGGGAGCGGCCCCCCCUCCUUGGCAGCUAAACCUGCAGGGGCCCCUAGGAGUGGGUUUCCCCCGACAGCCAUCCGCUCCUUCCCUCGCCCGGCAUCGCGCUGUUGACAACCUGUAGCCUCGGGAAUCAGCCGGCGGGACGGAAAAUUGGGAGGCGUCCUGGAGGACGCUUGUAAGAAGGCUAUGACUUCAGAAUUUGGGGGAGGGGGUGGAAGUCAGGCACUCAGCGGGGGCUCCUCAGAGAGAACCUCACUUAAGAUCUGAACGUCCGAACCGAACCGAAUGGAAUUUGCUCCCUCCGGCUCAACGGCCUCCCUUUCCCCAUCCAUACACAGCGGCCGCCUUUCUACCACCACGCGGUGCCCUGCCCAUGCCAGCCCCCCGGGUGUGGGGGCUGCACUGCAUGACUUCAGAUUGGUGCCUUUAAAUCUCAAAUGAUUCCAAGGACCCCUCAAGUAUUUGGACCAGAAAUGCAUGGUGAAGGUGUGUGGCGAGGUUUUAAAAACCAGUCCACUCUGGGGCCUUUGCUUCAGGAUUUCUGGGCAGACCGCCAGCUUCUCUUUCCAAUUAAACGCCCCAUUUGGCUGGCGGGUGGGCCCCUGCGCUGGAAGGGGGAGAUGGCUGCUACCCCCGCUGUCUGGAUGCAAUCUGGGGACAGAUUUCAUAAGUCGGGGGAAGGAAUGCACCUGAGAUCCCAUCGCAGCAGAAGUGUCCCCUCAGCAGCUCCCCAUAAAGGAGGAGAAUCUGUGUGUCCAGAUCCAGGAAGGACACGCUGGGUGAAGAGCGGGGUGAGGGGCCUAGGGAAGGGGGGACAAGGGUGACAACAGCUUCAGCCUAGGAGGGCAAGGGGAGCAUGGACCCCUCACUCAAGGCACCUCUCCACGGGCUGCUCUGGGUGACGUUUGGACCAAGACUAUAAUGCAUCCAUCAGAACAAAUAAUGCCGUGCAGAGCUCACGGCAGGCAAACUCUCCCUAUGUGAUCAGCACGGUGGCACAAGGACCCUAGGACGUAGAUGGGGAACCUGAGGUUCAGGAAGUUGAGUCGACAAGGUCGCAGGCUGGCUGGAGCCGGGGCUGGAUCCAAGCUGGAGAGAGAAGCCUCCCCCAGCCUUCAUCAGCUUUGGACCCCAUGGCCUCUACCAUGAAGGCCCUGGGGCCAGCCAGGGAAGAAGGCUGUGGAGCACGUGGGCGCACACACGCGUGCAAAUGCGCGUGGACUUUUGCACAUACGUGUACACGUUGGGAGGAGCCUGUAAAGAAAAAAAGAAAAAAACGUAAUGAAAUGACUCUGAGCAAAGCCAGGUGCCCAGAAAGGAAGCAGAAGGAAGAUGAAAGGCAAGAACGCAACCCCCGCCCGCCUCUAGAAACUUCCAACAGGAGGAGGCCUCCUGCUGGCUCCCAUUUGUGGACGCAAGGCCACCGGAGCUGCCACUGCCAUGCUGGGACUGCGUGGCUGAGGGGACACGUCCAGGGGGAGGCCGGUGACCCCGAGGCGGCUAUCUCAGCCUGCAAUCUCAUCACCAGAUGGGCCCUCUCUCGCACGCUCCCUAAAAAGCCGGAAAUCCAUCUGCAAGGCAGGACAAAUGGCCAUCCCUGCUUCUUCCAUCUGCCAGGACAUGUGAACGCGGGCGCUGUGGCAGCGCCGGCUGAGGGAUUCUGGGUAUUUACAGCCAGCGAUCUCUUAUCAGCUGUGCCAUCGAGCCGUGAUGGGCUAGGCUGACCCUGCAUCUAUCCGAAUGUGCUGAUCCUUUGAGACUUGUCUAACCCUUUAAUGCAAGGCGACAGCAAUACUGUUUCCUGUCAGGCCCAAAGACACCACUGCCUGUUUUGCAAAGGACGCGUGCCCGACUUCCCGGCAAAUUGAAGACAACUGGGAAACGUCCACCUAUCCAUUCACAGGCCAAGGGCGCUGCGGGCUUCACCGUCCACUGGGAUUUCACCUCCAAGGCCCCACCUCAGAUCAGAAGCUAUUAGGACGACCGGCCCAUCAGCAGCGGGGAGACAGCACAAGGUGGAGGAGCAGAAUUGCUCUUCUUGUCCCCGUUUGCUACUAAAGUGCUGUGUGACAUUGGCUAAGUCGCUUGCCCUCUCUGUUUCCCAUUUUGUUCGGCUGCACAACCAGCUCUUUGGUGCUGGGAUUUGGAGUUUAAACCUCUUCAGCCAGGUCUUCCAAACCCCUGACAACGCUCAGGCUUCUUCUCCCUCCCCCUGUGCCCCACGUUGCCCUGAAGGCCUUGCGGGUCCCAAACAGUGCUCCCAGCCAGCCCCUUGUCCUCCAUCCGCUACCCUGCUCCAAUUGCAGCUGAGAGAGGACCACCGGCCAGUUCCUCCUUCGCGGUGCAUCCCCAUUUUGCAGGUGGGAGGACGGUGGCUCAGGGAAGCAACGUGAGAAAGUGGUGAAGCCAACGUGAGCCCCGGACUCUGCUCUGCUGCAGACCCUGAGGGUCUCCUGAGUGGAGGGAGAGACCCCGGAGGCAGAGGCACGGCCAAGACAGCAUCUUGGCCCUGGACGGCGGCGGAAUACCAGCAGCACCUCGGCGGAGACCUCUGCACCCUGAGACUCGAAGAGGAGGUUCCAACCUGCAGGGAACAGCAUGGGCCCUUUCCAGGUGGAGACACAAGAGUGCAAGCUCCCAGGAGGAGGUCGGCCCCGAACCCCCAUCAUGACCUGGUCUCCAAGUGCCCCCCAACCCCCACCUCUAACAACUCCUGCCCCCACCCGGGGCAGCGCUGUAUGGCUAAAAGCAUCGUGUCCCUCUGUCUGUCUUUCCCUCUGUCUCUCCCUCUGUCUGUCUCUUUUUAGGGCUACACCUGCAGCAUAUGGAAGUUCACAGGCUAGGGGUUGAAUCAGAGCUACAGCUGCCGGUCUACACCACAGCAUGUGACAAUGCCAGAUCCUUAACCCACUGGAUGAGGCCAAGGAUCAAAUCUGCAUCCUCACAGAGACAAUAUCAGGUCCUUAACCCACUGAGCCACAGUACUCCCAAAGUGGCCCAAUUUUUGUCUCUUAGUUUUUUAUUUUAUUUUAUUUUAUUUUAUUUUAUUUUAUUUUAUUUUAUUUUGUCUUUUUUAGGACUGCACCCACAGCACAUGGAAGUUCCCAGGCUAGGGGUCAAGAUGGAGCUGCAGCUGCCAGCUUACACCACACCCACAGCAAUGCCAGAUCCGAGCCGCAUCUGUGAGCUACAUGGAAGCUCAUGUCAAGGCCGGAUCCCCAACCCACUGAGUGAGGCCAGGGAUAGAACCCAUGUCCUCGUGGAUACUAGUUGGGCUCAUUACUGCUGAGCCACAGCAGGAACUCCUGCCUCUCUUUUAAACCUGAGUUUUCUAUAAAAGACUCCAUUCAAGGAAAAAUUUCUAUAGUACAUCAAUUUAAAUUAUUUUUCUUUAUGUUGGCAAACAACAGUCAAUUUACAAACGUGCCAACUUGCCAUAGUAACAGCGAAGUUUCUCAUAAUGGGUUUGCGGGGGGGCUCCUAAAAAGGCCAAGAGAAUACCUACCUUCCAGUCUCCGGCGGCAGCCCCCACAGCCUGGGGGCGGCUGGGCAGCUACACAGGUCACCAUGGAUACGCACUCUCCUUGACCACACCCCAUCCACCCAGUUUAAUGCGCACCUGCUAUGUGCCAGGCGCUGAGCAGGACGGAGACAGCCCUCCCACACGCCUCCCAUCUUCCCAGGCCGUGCUGGGAGCAUCACCACCCCCCGAGAUGCCUCUGACAUCCGGCAUCAGGUCCUGCGGCGGCCGGGGCACUGACUCCUCCAGCAGGACCAGAGCGCAGCCGCUAUCACUGGCCUGUUGUCUCCUUUCCACCUGCCCGUCCUACCAGUCCCUCCCAAAUUCUCCCGGUUCAUCUUCAGAGCCGGACUGCGUUCCUUAUCAGGGCCUCCCGCGGGAAGUCCGCUCGUGGGAGCAUCAGUGAUCUUGCUGGGCCAAGGUGGGCGGUUUCCAGCAAAGGUCCCCCCACACCUGUGCACCCCCACCACCAUCGUCCAAAACUGGACUUGCCUCUUGGGGGAUUUUUCCACCGGACUGGAGCACCACCUACGAGGGCAGUGAGCACAGAUGCGGUCGCUGCCUGUCCCCGUGCCUUGCACAGCCGAGGCAUCUUCAGCCAAUCCUUGUUCAAUGAAUAAAAGAGAACGCUUUGUA
rnacentral:lncRNA from 1 species